CGAAUUCGCCCUUAGAGUUUGAUCAUGGCUCAGGAUGAACGCUGGCGGCGUGCCUAAUACAUGCAAGUCGAGCGAACGGACGAGAAGCUUGCUUCUCUGAUGUUAGCGGCGGACGGGUGAGUAACACGUGGAUAACCUACCUAUAAGACUGGGAUAACUUCGGGAAACCGGAGCUAAUACCGGAUAAUAUUUUGAACCGCAUGGUUCAAAAGUGAAAGACGGUCUUGCUGUCACUUAUAGAUGGAUCCGCGCUGCAUUAGCUAGUUGGUAAGGUAACGGCUUACCAAGGCAACGAUGCAUAGCCGACCUGAGAGGGUGAUCGGCCACACUGGAACUGAGACACGGUCCAGACUCCUACGGGAGGCAGCAGUAGGGAAUCUUCCGCAAUGGGCGAAAGCCUGACGGAGCAACGCCGCGUGAGUGAUGAAGGUCUUCGGAUCGUAAAACUCUGUUAUUAGGGAAGAACAUAUGUGUAAGUAACUGUGCACAUCUUGACGGUACCUAAUCAGAAAGCCACGGCUAACUACGUGCCAGCAGCCGCGGUAAUACGUAGGUGGCAAGCGUUAUCCGGAAUUAUUGGGCGUAAAGCGCGCGUAGGCGGUUUUUUAAGUCUGAUGUGAAAGCCCACGGCUCAACCGUGGAGGGUCAUUGGAAACUGGAAAACUUGAGUGCAGAAGAGGAAAGUGGAAUUCCAUGUGUAGCGGUGAAAUGCGCAGAGAUAUGGAGGAACACCAGUGGCGAAGGCGACUUUCUGGUCUGUAACUGACGCUGAUGUGCGAAAGCGUGGGGAUCAAACAGGAUUAGAUACCCUGGUAGUCCACGCCGUAAACGAUGAGUGCUAAGUGUUAGGGGGUUUCCGCCCCUUAGUGCUGCAGCUAACGCAUUAAGCACUCCGCCUGGGGAGUACGACCGCAAGGUUGAAACUCAAAGGAAUUGACGGGGACCCGCACAAGCGGUGGAGCAUGUGGUUUAAUUCGAAGCAACGCGAAGAACCUUACCAAAUCUUGACAUCCUUUGACAACUCUAGAGAUAGAGCCUUCCCCUUCGGGGGACAAAGUGACAGGUGGUGCAUGGUUGUCGUCAGCUCGUGUCGUGAGAUGUUGGGUUAAGUCCCGCAACGAGCGCAACCCUUAAGCUUAGUUGCCAUCAUUAAGUUGGGCACUCUAAGUUGACUGCCGGUGACAAACCGGAGGAAGGUGGGGAUGACGUCAAAUCAUCAUGCCCCUUAUGAUUUGGGCUACACACGUGCUACAAUGGACAAUACAAAGGGCAGCGAAACCGCGAGGUCAAGCAAAUCCCAUAAAGUUGUUCUCAGUUCGGAUUGUAGUCUGCAACUCAACUACAUGAAGCUGGAAUCGCUAGUAAUCGUAGAUCAGCAUGCUACGGUGAAUACGUUCCCGGGUCUUGUACACACCGCCCGUCACACCACGAGAGUUUGUAACACCCGAAGCCGGUGGAGUAACCUUUUAGGAGCUAGCCGUCGAAGGUGGGACAAAUGAUUGGGGUGAAGUCGUAACAAGGUAACAAGGGCGAAUU
rnacentral:rRNA from 1 species